AUCUAACUGCUAUUAGAAUAUGGACGAUGACC
rnacentral:piRNA from 1 species